rnacentral:tRNA from 1 species
GCCCUGGUAGCUCAGUGGUGGAGCAUUCGGCUGUUAACCGGAGGGUCGGAGGUUCGAAUCCUCCCUAGGGCG